rnacentral:lncRNA from 1 species
UGGUGAGCAUUUUGGCAAAAGUAAAGAGAUAGUACCCGAGGAUCAAGAAUCGGAGUACUUGGAAUUCGACUCCCGAAAUAGUGAGUAACCUUACUAUCGUCUUAAUUAUCUAAAGUGGUUUUUAUCCGAUUUUGUGAUUUUAUGGGAAAUGAGUUUAAGUGGUAAAUCUUUAUGUUUUAUAAACAAAAUAUGUUUAAAUGAAAUGAUUUUAUAAAUUGUCUUGAAAUUGAAUGAUGGCUUUGAAAAUAGAGUAAUUGGAGACCACUUGAUGUGUUGUAAUUUAUGGUUCUAAUUGAUGGCUUAUGAUAAUGUGUUGGCAUGACUGGCUGGAAUUGUGGUUUGUGAACUGUAUGAAUUGUUCUGUUUUACAUUUACAGGUUGGGUAGUAUAAUAUGAGUCAUGUCAUGCUGUCAAAAUUUUAUUAUAUGGUGGGUUUAACUUGCUGCAGUGGGCGGGUUUUCUGUGGACUAGCUGAUUAGAGGGGCACGAAAUCCCGUUAUAUUUUACCUCAGUUGGAGAGGCGAGUAGGGUAACUCCCGAGGUAUAACUUUAGAGUCACUUCACGCCAAACCACCACGUGAGGGUGAACUCAACCAACUCCAAGGAACGACUAUGUUUUCAAAAUAAA